UGGCGUGGUAGUUGCCUAGAAAUAGUCUCUAAUUAGCCAUAUUUUGUGAAUAUAAUUAAAACAUGUUAUAUUUUCAUUCAACAGCUUUCGAAGGUGAUCUCGCUAUUUUGAAUCAAGCGCCGCUCAGACCGCUACUGUUUAGUCACGUGCUGUUCCUCGAGAAAAACAGCGCUGGAUCUUCAACGCCACGGAAAUCUAUACAUCACACAACAACAGUGCGCCC